GAUGAACGCUAGCGGCAGGCCUAAUACAUGCAAGACGUACGGGAUUGUUUCUUAGCUUGCUAGGGGACAUGAGAGUGGCGCACGGGUGCGUAACGCGUGAGCAACCUGCCCAUGUCAGGGGGAUAGCCCGCUGAAAGACGGAUUAACACCGCAUGAAGAUAUUUUCCGGCAUCGGGAGAUAUCCAAAUAUUUAUAGGACAUGGAUGGGCUCGCGUGGCAUUAGCUGGUUGGUGCGGUAACGGCGCACCAAGGCGAUGAUGCCUAGGGGCUCUGAGAGGAGAAUCCCCAACACAGGUAAUGGGACAAGGACCCGACGCAUACGGGAGGCAGCAGUAGGGAAUAUUGGUCAAAGGGCGGAAGCCUGAACCAGCCAUGCCGCGUGCGGGAGGAAGGCCCUACGGGUCGUAAACCGCUUUUAUACGGGAACGACCGCAGCUACGUGUAGCUGCCUGAGUGUACCGUAGGAAUAAGGAUCGGCUAACUCCGUGCCAGCAGCCGCGGUAA
rnacentral:rRNA from 1 species